AGUAUUGUGUUUGAUUGGAUGGUAAAGAAUAAAAAAAGAAGAUAAAAUAUGAUUGGUUGAUAAAGAUGUGGCAAGGAUUGACUCAAACUAAUCUUAACCGUUGAUUGUAUCAUCCAUCUAAUGGACAUAAAUCAUAUGUGGCAAGGAUUGACUCAAACUAAUCUUAACCGUUGUGCGUUAUCUCUCUCUGCAACAGUCGAUUGCUUCACCUCCCUCACCGGGUUUCACCUCCUCACCACCACCACUGAACUGAGAAAAACAGGGAUAAAACAUGAAGGAUAAGUGGUAGUGUGACGGAGCAGACAGUAAAGAGGAGGACGGCGGCAGAGAGGAACCACCACCACCUUGAAAAAGUCUUAUGUGGAUGGUUUCUUCUGAAACAGCGGCGGAGAGAGGAGGCGUGAAGAACUCGGGGUGGCGAUGGAGUUAUGUGAAGAUUUAAGAAGAGGAAGAGAGAGAAGAAGAAGAAGAAGAAGAAGAAGAAGAGGAGGAGGUGUGAACGGAGUAGAAGGAGACGAGGCACAGACAUAACCGGACUGGAAAGAGGCGACGAGGAGAUGUGACCGGAGUGGAAGGAGACGAAGCAGAGACCUGACCGGAGUGGAACGAGACGAGGCGGAGACCUGGCCAAAGUUACCCCGGUGGUGGUUCGCCGCUGCGCCGCUGUCGUCAAAGUCACGCCGGUGGUGGUUUUGUAUAAUAUUUGUAUAUACACAUGUAUUUAGAUUUGUAUUUGUACGUAUAUUUUUAGUUUAAUAAAAUUUAUAUUUAAAAUGA